rnacentral:rRNA from 1 species
UACGAAGGGGGGCUAGCGUUGUUCGGAUUUACUGGGCGUAAAGCGUGCGCAGGCGGUGAUGUAAGACAGAUGUGAAAUCCCCGGGCUCAACCUGGGAACUGCAUUUGUGACUGCAUCGCUGGAGUACGGCAGAGGGGGGAUGGAAUUCCGCGUGUAGCAGUGAAAUUCGUAGAUAUCGACAGGAACACCUGCGGCGAAAGCGGCCUUCUGGACGAACACUGACGCUGAGACACGAAAGCGUGGGGAGCAAACAGG